rnacentral:rRNA from 1 species
UACGAAGGGGGCUAGCGUUGCUCGGAAUCACUGGGCGUAAAGCGCACGUAGGCGGGUCGUUAAGUCGGGGGUGAAAUCCUGGAGCUCAACUCCAGAACUGCCUUUGAUACUGGGGAUCUCGAGUCCGGGAGAGGUGAGUGGAACUCCGAGUGUAGAGGUGAAAUUCGUAGAUAUUCGGAAGAACACCAGUGGCGAAGGCGGCUCACUGGCCCGGUACUGACGCUGAGGUGCGAAAGCGUGGGGAGCAAACAGA